CCGAUUAGCCCAGUCGGUAGAGCACCAGACUCUUAAUCUGGCUGUCGCCGGUUCGAGCUCCUCCGAAUCGGG
rnacentral:tRNA from 1 species